ensembl:lncRNA
GUGGGCUGCGUGCACUUUUUAAACCACGAAGCACGCGCUGUUUUGCAAGUCACCUGAACGGCUGAAGCUGCGCGUGCUCUUUUUCACUGAGAGAAUCUUCCACAUAACCAGGUCAGUGUUCUCUUACACGCUAUUAACACACGUUAAUAACGUCUUAUCGUUGAUUAAGACUUUGAGCAGCAACUAUCUCUGCUUAAAAAAACAACAACCCAAUAGAAACCAUAGAAUUUGAAUAGAUUUCAAUUUCAAAUUCAUAGAAUUUGUAAUGGUUUUAAUGGUUAUAAUGGUAAUUGUAUUGGUUUUAAUGGAAACUGUAAUGGCCCCUGUUGGUCUCUACUGUUAAUUUGUUGCCUUCUAUUGGUGGUCUAGUGGAUUCCAUUAAGGAUCAAUAAUGAUAAUGGUAAUGGUUUUAAUGGUUAGCUGAUGGUUUGCAAUGGUAUUUGUAGUGAAGCCAUUAAAAUUUCUGUGAUAGUUUCUAUAGCUUUUUUCAGCAAGUGUGUGUGUGUGUGUGUGUGUGUGUGUGUGUGAGAGAGAGAGAGAGAGAGAGAGAUGAAUUUCAAGCCAACUUUCACUUGGCACCACUUAAAAAGACAUGAUAACUCAGAUCUCUGAUUGCUGUACUAUUGACAUACUGUUCACACUAUCAAAACAAAAAAGUGCCUGGAGAGCGGCUUUUGCUAUUAACUCAGUGUACCUUUAAAUUUAAAAUGUUACCAUGGGUCAUAAAAAAAGGAUUGUAUGAAUAAUUAUACACGCCUAUACUAUGUUUCUGAAGGUAUUAAAUGAAUGUCAUAAAUAUGCAACCUUCCAUCUGACAUUUGAAGCAAUACAAAUAACACUAUUUGUGACAUUAUUUUUAAAUGAUUGUACAAGUAAAAUCUUCCAACACAAAGGUUUGAAAGGUCAGGGCAAGAGAGUCGUUACAACAGAACUAAAUGAUGCUACAUUGAAUGUCUUUGGAUCUUUGGAUUUGGAUUAAGAGUUAUAGGUUCCUAAAGAGAUUGUAUUUCCUCCCAGCAGAUGAUCUACCUGGCGUGAGACAUUUGAGCAGAUUAUCAUUUUCCAAUCAUGGCUGCUUUUGUCUAGACCUUCCUGGUGAACAUAUGCUUUAGAUAUUUUAUGAGUGCAGGUCUUGGUAGUGCUGUGGCCACUGACUGAGGUGUUGAGCUUAGGUUCUUCAGCUGCAGUGGUACCCUUAUCUGAGGCCCAAAGUGAAUAUUGAUGUUUUAGGCAUUGAGAAUUGAUCUGGGACAUUGUUACUUGUCUUGUUACUUAACUUAUGUUGACUUAUGUAAAUGUGUGUGUACGUGUGUCCAAUUCUAACCUACAGAAACAUGGUAACUCAUGAGCAAGUCACAGCAUAUUUAGAGGUCAGUGGUGGGAAAUACGCCAAGAUUGAGCCAAAGAGGCCCGCCGGGACUCACCAGUUAGUUGUUAAAAGUUCACAGAGAUCUGCACCUGGCUUGACUGUGUACAAGGUGCCAAGGCAAGACAAAAGUGUCGUGAUGGCAUUCUGUUUCAAGCUGAAAGAAAAUAUGUAUUAUCCGGUAGUGGAGCGGGACCCAGCCACCGAAAAAGCCAUUGUGAAGGUUGUGGGGCCAAUAAACCAGCCAUUUGAGGGAUUCCCUGAGAAGUAUCUUUUUAAAAGUGGAACAAAUAAUGAGUAUGGAAGCCUGUGCUCAGUGGCAGAACCUAACCAAUAUCUUUCUGUUUCUGAAGAGGUCAUCACCCUCAGCACCAAUCCAUACCUUCAAUUCAGAAUCAGUCUAAACAAACAGGCAAAUAGGAUGGCUUCAACAAACUUUGUUUUGCCUAAGUUUAGGCCAUUAGAUCACCACAGAUUGAUGAGGAAUCACAGAAGAAGAAAGACAGGAAAAUACCAGAAAUCCUGUAGCAAUACCAGCAUCCAUACCCCUGUACCAAGUAGCUCUGGUCACCUAUUAUAACCUAUUAUUCAGAAUCUAUUCAUAAAAAGCAAAUAUAGCAAAUAUAUUUAGCAAAUCAAUACAGGAACAUUUGACAUAUAUGCAUCAUAAAGAAUUUCUUUAUAAAGAAAUAUUUUACAUGUACACUUUACAUUUAUUCUGAUGGAUAUAAAAGCUGAUGCUUUUAUCCAAAGCAACUUACAAUUGAGGAAAUACAAGCAAAGUGACAGGUAUACCAAGCGGAGAACAAUACAAGUAGUGCUACCGUACAUUAUUAUAUGAUGAACACAUUGAAGACUUUGCUGCCAGGAAACACAGGAGUGUGCGUUUGUACAUUUUGAAAUGAGAAAUGCUCCAGCAGAAGACAUAUGUCUGUGUUAAUUUUUGUUUUAAUCUAUUGUUUUAUUUUUAUAAUAUUUAUUCUUUUAAAAUGUUUUUAUUUAAUAUGUCUAAUUUUAGUUUGUAUUUUAUGCUGUAGAGCUACAAUUGUUAAUAAUUACAAUAUAUAUAUAUAUAUUUUUUCGACUUUAUUAAAGUUCUUUUCUGACCAUUAAUGUAGAUGUGUGUUGGUGUUUAAAAAAUAAAAUAAAAUAAAAAAGUAACUU